rnacentral:rRNA from 1 species
GAGGCGAACGGGUGAGUAAUACAUAAGCAACCUGCCCACGAAGACUGGGAUAAUCCUUGGAAACGAGGACUAAUACCGGGAUAGGUUACGAAUUCGCAUGAAUUUGUAAUUAAAGGUUAGAAACACUGGUGGAUGGGCUUAUGGUGCAUUAGCUAGUUGGUGAGGUAACGGCCCACCAAGGCGAUGAUGCAUAGCCGGGCUGAGAGGCUGAACGGCCACAUUGGGACUGAGACACGGCCCAGACUCCUACGGGAGGCAGCAGUAGGGAAUUUUCGGCAAUGGGGGAAACCCUGACCGAGCAACGCCGCGUGAGUGAUGAAGGUCUUCGGAUUGUAAAGCUCUGUUGUAAGGGAAGAAUGAAUUGGAUAGAAUCCGAUUGUGACGGUACCUUACCAGAAAGCUACGGCUAACUACGUGCCAGCAGCCGCGGUAAUACGUAGGUAGCGAGCGUUAUCCGGAAUUAUUGGGCGUAAAGGGUGCGUAGGCGGCUUGUUAAGUUUAAGGUGAAAGAAUGGGGCUCAACCCCAUAAAGCCUUAGAUACUGGCAAGCUAGAGUACUGGAGAGGGUAGUGGAAUUCCAUGUGUAGCGGUAAAAUGCGUAGAUAUAUGGAGGAACACCGGUGGCGAAGGCGGCUACCUAGACAGAGACUGACGCUGAGGCACGAAAGCGUGGGGAGCAAAUAGGAUUAGAUACCCUAGUAGUCCACGCCGUAAACGAUGAAUGCUAGAUAUCGGGGCAACUCGGUGUCGAAACUAACGCGAUAAGCAUUCCGCCUGUGGAGUAUGCACGCAAGUGUGAAACAUAAAGGAAUUGACGGGGGCCCGCACAAGCGGUGGAGUAUGUGGUUUAAUUCGACGCAACGCGAAGAACCUUACCAGGCCUUGACAUCCCUUGCAAAACUCUAGAGAUAGAGCAGAG